rnacentral:snRNA from 1 species
GUCCACUCAGGCCUUUUGGCUAGGACAAAGUGUAGUAUCUGUUCUUUUCAGUGUGAUAACUGAAACGAGGUAUUAUAAAUACCUCAUUGUUAUCUUACUUAUUUUUUUAAACAUAAGUUAAAGAAUUUCAUAGCUUGCUAUGAGCUUUAACAAUGGUAUUCUUAGUAUUGCACUAUUUCUAAGUUAUGCCAAAAUAUU